UGCCAGCCGCCGCGGUAAGACGGAGGGCGCAAGCGUUGUUCGGAAUUACUGGGCGUAAAGGGCGGGCAGGUGGUCCGUUAAGUCGUCUGUGAAAAUCCGGGGCUCAACCCCGCGAAAUGCAGACGAUACUGGCGGACUAGAGAUCGGUAGAGGCUAGCGGAAUUCCUGGUGUAGCGGUGGAAUGCGUAGAUAUCAGGAAGAACACCCGUGGCGAAGGCGGCUAGCUGGGCCGAGUCUGACACUCAUCCGCGAAAGCGUGGGGAGCAAACAGGAUUAGAUA
rnacentral:rRNA from 1 species